GACGAACGCUGGCGGCGUGCUUAACACAUGCAAGUCGAACGGAAAGGCCCUGCUUUUGUGGGGUGCUCAAGUGGCGAACGGGUGAGUAACACGUGAGUAACCUGCCCUUGACUUUGGGAUAACUUCAGGAAGCUGGGGCUAAUACCGGAUAGGAGCUCCUGCUGCAUGGUGGGGGUUGGAAAGUUUCGGCGGUUGGGGAUGGACUCGCGGCUUAUCAGCUUGUUGGUGGGGUAGUGGCUUACCAAGGCUUUGACGGGUAGCCGGCCUGAGAGGGUGACCGGCCACAUUGGGACUGAGAUACGGCCCAGACUCCUACGGGAGGCAGCAGUGGGGAAUAUUGCACAAUGGGCGGAAGCCUGAUGCAGCAACGCCGCGUGCGGGAUGACGGCCUUCGGGUUGUAAACCGCUUUCGCCUGUGACGAAGCGUGAGUGACGGUAAUGGGUAAAGAAGCACCGGCUAACUACGUG
rnacentral:rRNA from 1 species